rnacentral:rRNA from 1 species
UACAGAGGGUGCAAGCGUUGCUCGGAUUUACUGGGCGUAAAGCGUACGCAGACGGUGAGGAAGGUCGGAUGUGAAAGCCCUGGGCUCAACCCAGGAACUGCAUCCGAAACCCCCUCGCUAGAGUAUGGGAGAGGGAAGCGGAAUUCCUGGUGUAGAGGUGAAAUUCGUAGAUAUCAGGAGGAACAUCUGCGGCGAAGGCGGCUUCCUGGCCCAUUACUGACGUUCAGGUACGAAAGCGUGGGUAGCAAACAGGAUUAGAUACCCUGGUAGUCCACGCCGUAAACGAUGAGUGCUGGAUGUCGGGGGUAUUCACCCCCUCGGUAUCGAAGCCAACGCGAUAAGCACUCCGCCUGGGGAGUACGGCCGCAAGGUUGAA